UGCACGUGAACGGUCAGUAUUGGUGCGCUAGGCGAUCACACCCAUAUGGAUCUCAUCCGCGACAGUUUAUUGAAUUAUACCUACAACGUUGUUCAUGGCUUUAUGACGGCGGAACUCCCGGGGCUUGUACGACCGAUAAAAGACCUUCGGGUAUGCUUAAGGAGGGGCCUGCGGCGCAUUAGUUAGUUGGAGAGGUGAAAGCUCCCCAAGACGAUGAUGCGUAGCCGGACUGAGAGGUUGAACGGCCACAUUGGGACUGAGAAACGGCCCUAACUCCUACGGGAGGCAGCAGUAGGGAAUUUUCGGCAAUGGGGGAAACCCUGACCGAGCAACGCCGCGUGAAUGAAGACGUAUUUCGGUAUGUAAAGUUCUUUUAUCGAGGAAGAAUGGCAUCGUGUGAACACGAUGAUUGACGGUACUUGAUGAAUAAGCCCCGGCUAACUAUGUGCCAGCAGCCGCGGUAAUACAUAGGGGGCAAGCGUUAUCCGGAAUUAUUGGGCGUAAAGGGUGCGUAGGCGGUUGUUUAAGUCUUUGGUGUAAGUGCAGUGCUUAACGCUGUGAUGCUAAAGAAACUGGGCAACUUGAGUGUGGUAGAGGCAAGUGGAAUUCCAUGUGUAGCGGUAAAAUGCGUAAAUAUAUGGAGGAACACCAGUGGCGAAGGCGGCUUGCUGGGCCACAACUGACGCUGAGGCACGAAAGCGUGGGGAGCAAACAGGAUUAGAUACCCUGGUAGUCCACGCCGUAAACGAUGAGUACUAAGUGUUGGAGAAAUUCAGUGCUGUAGUUAACGCAAUAAGUACUCCGCCUGAGUAGUACGUACGCAAGUAUGAAACUCAAAGGAAUUGACGGGACCCCGCACAAGCGGUGGAUCAUGUUGUUUAAUUCGAUGAUACGCGAAGAACCUUACCAGGUCUUGACAUCCCCUGCAACGUGGUAGAGAUACCAUAGAGGUUAUCAGGGAGACAGGUGGUGCAUGGGUUGUCGUCAGCUCGUGUCGUGAGAUGUUGGGUU
rnacentral:rRNA from 1 species